rnacentral:lncRNA from 1 species
GUUCCUCUGCACUACAAGCUCAUGGGCUACCGACCCGUCUCAUUAUGGGAUGCGUUUCAUUCCCAUGGUUCUACAACUCUGACCAGGCCACUUCGCUCUGGAUCUCCGACUGACGUCCAGAGGGAAUUCAGCGAUUCAGCAGAAGAGGAAGUGCCUGCUCUGUCUUUCAGGGCUCCCGACGCUCUGAGCAGACCUCCUCCUGUAAACCCACUUAGAAUUUUUGUAAGAAUUUCAUCAAAUAGAUACAAACCACAAUAUUAAUGUUCUCACAGUCUUUUCAUUCUCAUUAUGUUGGUUUGCUCACUUUGUCUCAUUAUUUUGGUUUUAAUCCAGCACCGGUUUCAUUUCAAGCCUGUUCCCAAGUUCCUAGAGAGCGAUCUGGAGUUUUAUCUCUGUCCUUUGCCAAGGUAUACGUUACCUGAGAGCAACAAAAGCAGCUGUGGGGCCGAAGCCUCUUUCAAACAGAAGAGGUUUCUCAAUUACAAAAAGGAGCUGGAGAAAGUCAUGCUGUGGCAGAACUUCGAUUCCAAGUUGUUAAAAGGUUUGUCGAGCCAACCGGCUCUCAGCGGUGACGGCGCCCCUCGGAGGUCCAUCGACUACAACACAGAUAUCCUCCUCCCUGCAGCGCCUCCUCCCCUCCCCUCUCUCCCUGAUGAUCUGGUGCCACUAACAGACACGCCGUGCGACGGCUCAGGAGUCCAGCUGACACCUGAGAUGAUCAGGGCUGAGUUCCUGUCUGGGAAAGCGCUGGUCUCCAAUAGCAACCUCACCGCAGGACCAACGGCUCGGGAGCGUCACGCAGAGGAGACCCGCGGAUCCGAGCUCGGAAGAGUGAUGGCCAGGCUGAAGGAGCUCCAAGUCACCGGCGGAGAGACGCACUCACCGGCAGAGGAGUGUGAAUAGGCAGAACGCAGUACUCCAAAGGCACAUUAUACAUCCCACUCGCCACAUACACUCCAGAAAAAUAAAAAAAAACAAAAGCCCACCUUGAAGGCUCUUUUUCCACCCACUCAGAAGUAAGGUUUUAAACGUGUUACUCCCGCCUCCAGUCAGUUCCUUUGAAAGCACAGCUGCAGUUUAGCCUCA